UCUUCCACUCAGUUUGGGGAUUUCAAGGGCGAGGACAUCGCCCACAGCGCUGUGGACCGAUGGAGGUUGGCCCUCUGCUCACAAGGAGGCACAGGAAGGCAGAAUAUCACAGUCUCAGGACUGCGGGCUCCUGUGGGAGGCAGAGUCCUUAGGUUGGUUGGAUUCUGCUGGUCUGAAGGCAUGGAGAUCGCCUGGGAAGAGAAAACCUGGGGCAGCCCGCGUCUACAUGGCAGCUGGUCAGGGCAGGACAGUGCACAGACCCUCAACAAGUGAAGCCAGUCAAAACACUUCCCCUGACAAAACCAGUGGAAUAGUGUGUUUGUAAAACCGAUGGCGUUUUUGUUGACAGGCAAAUGUCUACAUCGCAUGGCAACAAACGGCUGGAAGAUGCAAAAAUGCAGUCAAUCAUCAGGGAUUUCUUUUCCCGCCUCUCUUUAAAAAAGAAAAGCUCUCCCACCACCAUACAGGAUGAGUGAUGUCUGCAUGGUGUUUGAAGAUCUUCCUCCCUGAUCAAGCAAGUUCCUGAGGCUCAGUCUGGAGACCCAGGGGCAGCCCAAGUCUGACUGAACCAAACAGGGCAGGGUUGUCAGGAUCUUCUCAGGAAGUGGGGAUUGGCUCUGAAUUUCCCACUGACUUUGAGAAAUGCAGCAUUCUUCAAACUCUGAUGUGCUUAGAACCUCCUGUAUUAGCUGGUGAGAAUGCAGAUAGCCAGGCCUCAGCUCCAAGAUUCUGAUUUGGCAGUUUGGGGAGAAUGGCCCCAGGGCACCAGUAUUUUUAAUACCCGUUUACCACUUCCCAGAGAUGCUGAUCUGGGUGUUUCUGGGGCCACUCUGAAAAACACACAGUAUUGAGCAAAGACUCUAUGUCUGCCAUUCCCUUGACCCAGCAUCCUCCUGGUCAUGCAUCUGGGCUCCGCUGGGCUAGGUCUCCAAGAAGCCAUCUCUGGCUCUCUCUCCUGGGAUAAAUCAUCCUUGUAACGAUCCUAUUUCUACCCUCCCACCCCACCCUCCCAUUUUUUCCUGGCUCUGUCUUUUAGAGCCACACAAGGGAUGUCUGAUGUUUGAUUCCUCUACCUGAUAGCAGUCUUUUCAAUUCGUAAGCCUUUGGUUCAUUUGUUCAUUCAUUCAUUUAUCGAGUCUUAUGGAACACCUACUGCAUGACAGUGGCUGGGGAGAAUAGCAUGUACAAAGGUCCUGGAGCAGGUAAGGCCAGGGAGUGUUCAAGGCAUGGGCAGAAGGCCUAUGUGGCUAGAGUAGAGUGAGUGAAGGGCAGAGACCAUGGGAUAGCCGGAGGCUAUGACAGAGUUUGGUCUGUAUUCUGAAUCUGAUGGGAAGAUUUUGGAGGGUGUUAUGGUUAGAGUUUAAAGAGUUCAAAGGAGAGCAUUCUUUGGCUCAAAUAUCUUUUGGCAGGCAAAGCAAUAUAAUUUUACCCAUUUCCUGGGAAACUUCCAGUAAAUGUGGCCAUUGCUAUUGAAUAUGACUUAGACCUUAGAUGCUACCUCCUCUAGGAAGCCUUCUUUGCUUUUGAUCUGGUAGCUUUAGAUGCACCUCCACCAAAGUAUUGGUGAUGGUAAUACCAUAAUAUACUAAUAUUUGUGGAAUUGUCACACCCCAGCCCAUUUUUCAGGAUGGCAGACCCCAUGCAGGUUCAAACUUGUCUUCCAUCUGUGUCUCCUCAGAAGCUUCCUUAACCUUCCCCUGCCUCAGUUUCUCCUAAUGGGUUACUGUGAUGCCUGGCAAGAGGAUGUCCAUGAUGGAGUUCCCUUCGUGGCUCAGCGGUUAACUAGGAUCCAGAAGGAUGCGGGUUCGAUCCCUGGCCUUGCUUAGUGGGUUGAGGAUCUGGCAUUGCCAUGAGCUGUGGUGUAGGUCACAGACAUAACUUGGAACCCACAUUGCUGUGGCUCUGGUGUAGGCUGGCAGCUGCAGAUCCUAUUUGACCCCUAGCCUGGGAACUUCCUUAUGCCCCAGGUACAACCCUAAAAAGAGAAAAAAAAGGGGGUGCCCACAAACUGCUCAGCAAGGGCAUGGUACACAGUGAUGCUGCUAGGUUGGCUGGACUUUUAUAUUAGAGGAUAUCUGUUGGAUGAUGGGUUGGGGGGAAACCCCCUCUCUACCCACUGCCCAAUGUCUAACAGGAGUUUGGCUCAUCUAACUCUCCAGCAUUGGCUAGGGAUGUGUUUAGAUUUGCCCUUUGGCUGUUUUUUCAAUUUCUCAGAUUUAAUGUUGGCAGGAUACACUCAUACACUUUGGGGGUCCAUGUAGGAAGUUAUGGCCCCCUGGCCCCCUUAUGGUGAGACAACUGAAAGGAGCUGGGAGGGGGUCUAGGGCUGGGGAGUAAAUGACUUCUGGGGCUUGAUUCCCUGGUUGAAAGUGUAGGAUGACAUGUCCCCUGGGAGCGGACAGAGCUGCAGAACAUUUAGUCUCCAACAUGAUGUCCAGAGCUUGGUUUGCUCUAUAUCCAUCUGUCCAUCCAUUGGAAAAAUAUUCACCAAGCCCUGACUGUGUUUGGCACUGAGGACCCAGUAGUGAACCAUGCAGACACCAUCCUGCUCUCUCCUUCCUCUCUCUUGCACCAAAUUUCCAGACCCCUUGUAGCAUCAUCUGUAUCACCAUUCUUCUCCUCCUUUCCUUUCUCUAACUGGCAACUACGAAUUAUGCAACUACUAAGAUAAAAUGUAUAGUGAUUAAGGGUAUAAUCUCUGGAUUAGGAGGGCCAGGCCUUGAAUCCCACCUCUGCCACUAGAUAUGUGGCCUCGGACAAGUCCCUUUCCUGCCCUGAGCUUUGCUUUCUCUAUCUCUAAUGUCAGAGGGUUAUUCUGAGGUUCAGUAAGAUAGACUUUGGCAAUGUCAUCUAUUUCAAUACUAAUGGGGUGAAUCUGGGACACUUUAGAAGCCAGGAAGAAACUUGCUCUUCCUAGUAGUAGAGCUCCUGAUGACUUGCUAAGAGCAGGUGAAGAGCUGUGAACAGUGGCUUUCAUUUUAUUUAGUCAUCAGAGGAACUUUGCAAGAAUGCGUCUCACGUAUGUAUUGCUGAGGAGGAAUCAAGGCACAGGAACAAGUAAUUUCAUGAAGUGUGCAUCUGAGCCUUCUCUCCUGAGACCAAGCUGCACUCCCAUUGGAGUCUACAACAUUCUUGGGACCACAAACUUCUGGUUCCUAAGAACUUUUGCUGGAUGGAUCUUGUUAACUGCCCUCUCUGCUCCUUAGUAUUCCUGCCAGGCCUAUCUGGCUGAGAAGCCCCAUUCAUUAGACAGUUGUAUUCAUAAUCCAGAUACUUCUUCCAGGUAGUUUUUUUGGGGGGGUUUUAAUGGAUGUUGAGAAUUUGUUCUCAUUAAAGCCCUGGGAAACAUGAGCUUUAGUCCUAGAGCAUUUGGCUUAUGCUUAACACCAUAGACGCUAAAAUUUGCUUCUUUUUGAUUUAGUCUCUUGCUAGCUUGAAGGACUGGAUUUUAUAACAGGUCAAUUUCAGACCAUUUGAUAUUGAUAUAUGAAGAUCCUUAGGGAUUAUUGAAUGCAUUUUUCAUCCAGCUGCGAUAGUAUCAUAUAAGGAAAAUGGGAUUGACUGUUAAGUACAAAUUGAAAAAGACAUGGUCAUUUAAGAUAACUCCUUAUCUGUAUACAAGGAAAUAGUAUCAGGGAAAUAGACCACCAGUUGACAGAAAUAAAUUUCACCUUGGGUUCCUCCUCCACAUGCCUCCUUCACUGCUGUUCACACUCGUCCGGGAUUAUUCAAUUAUUCUGAGAGCCCUUUCCUGGAGCCCUGUUAGAGGAUGCAUCCGCAGGAAGAAGAGAAUUAAUUCUCUACUGCUUUAUUCUGGAAGGAAGUGUUGGAUAGAGGCUCUGGGUCCAUUCAGAGAGAAGGCCUUGGGGACUUUGGAAUAGGGCAGCUUCAACCUGGAACGUGGCUGGUCUCCCCAGCAGAGCCCCUGACAGUGCACUAAGAGCAGCAGAAGAGCUGAGAACAAUGAUUCCAUACCUUUCUUUUCAUCCACUAGGCUUACUCAUACGACCACUGGAGUGGUCUCAGCCAAGCAAGGCCCCCAUCCAGGUGACAUCCAGCCCUGGAAAUUUUCCUGAAUUUUACCCAAGCAGAGUGGGUUUGAAGGUCACUUGGAAAAUCUGCCAGAUUCCCAAAUAUCCCCUUCACUGUGUGAAGGGUGGCUGGGAACUUGUGACUGGUCUCCUGGAGGUCAGUGCAUGGACCUACCUCUGCUCCUACAAUUCCUGUGGUGGAGGCUGGAGGGAGAGGGCUGCUGCUUCCUCCUCCUUGAGUCCCAUCUGCAAGGAUGUUGGCUGGGAGAUGUGUGCUAUGCUGGGACCUUCCAGGCCUGUGGAGUCCAGAGAAGGACAAGCCUUGGGGCAGGUGUCUGCCUUACCCUCAGGUGAGCAGGGGCCAGGCCCCAGUCUGGCUCCCCUCACCCCCAAUGGGAGUCGACCUCAGAAAUUCCCCUGAGUUCACUGAGGAAAGGGCUUUCAGAGCCCCAAGAAAGCCAGGUGAUCUUAGGCCUAAAAGUGAGACCUCUCAUGAAGGUUUCCUGAGGACCUACUGUGUGUCAGAUGAGCCACUGCCAGGAAACUCUGAGACUGGUGUGAUAAGAAUUGGACCAGUUAUAUGCAAAAUGUUGUUAGAACUCACAGCAAGCUAAGCAUCACCUCCCCCAGGUUACAGCUGAGGAAACUGGUUAGAGUCUGGUUAGAGUCUGGCUAGAGGUUGUGGGUGUUAAGGACACCUCACCUCUGAGGGUCAGAGACAGAAAGUAACUUGAGUAAAUCACAUAGAUAAGUUAGUGGAGGAAUAAGAAUUUAAAUCUGGGUUUGUUUGACUCCAAAAGAAUCUACCCAUUCAUCCCUUUAUCUGCUCAUUCAUCCACCCAUCUCUCCUCCCUUUCUUCCUCCCUCCUCCAUCCCUCCCUCUCUUCUUCCCAUCCAUCCAUUUAUCCAUCCAUCCAGUGUUAAUCAAGCAUGUGCCAGGCAAUAAACAUCAUUAAUCAUUAUGAGUGAUGUCCUAGGGAUCAGAAGGGACCCCAGGGAGGUUCCCAGGCCCACAGCAUCCUGGGUCUGACCACAGUCACCAUGACUGGAUACUUGGACCAUGCUGGAGCCACUGAUCCAAGUUUGCCAGCAGGAGGCAGGAGGUAACAAGCUACUUAUGGGGUGUCUCCCACCCAGCAUGGGGACCAGGGUUGGAUGGAGUGGGGUGUGUGGGGAGUGGGGUGGGGAGGCUGGCAGAAGGAAUUCACUCCCCCAGAAGACCACAGGCAAAUUCUUUCCUAGCCUGUAAUUACAUUCUCUCCGUCAAUAUGCAGGGGGCACUGAGACAACUCCUCCUGCGUCCUAUGAAUCAUAGUACUCAAUUUUUUGGUACUAAUAAAAUGCAGCUCUCUGGGGGAUGGCCUGGGAUGGUGGCCACGGGGGCCAGACUGUAUGGUUCAGGGCAUGGCGGCAAGGAUAGGGGGAUGGCUGAUGUGGCACUCUUGGGAGAUAGCAGCAUCUCAAGAGGCUCCAAGCCCUCACUGGGGAAGGGACCCCAAAUCCAGAAAAAUGAGCCUUAAUUCCACCCACAGGCUGGGCCAUGACCACUGGUGACACCUGGGAGGUCCAGGCCAUUGGCAGCACCAGGGUUGGACAAAGAGGCUGAUGAGUCUGAGCUGGUUAGAGUCUGGCUAGAGGUUGUGGGUGUUAAGGACACCUCACCUGUGCCUGGAAUCUGUGCAAACUCACCUAGGAGGUCCCAUCCUGUCUGUGCCUUCCCAGAGUCUUUCCUUUGCAGACAGUGAGCUUUUCAAAGCAUUCAUGAGCUCAGCUCCUCUGAUGCUCACCCCACCCUGAGAAGGAAAGCUGGACCCCUCAUCACCCUUGGCCUCCAGGUCCUUCAGGUCUUGCAAUGCUGCCCUCGCCCCCUCCAUCCGAGACACUUGCCUUGUCUCUGUUCCACAAACAUGCUAAGCCAAUAGAAAGUUAGACUUAAUUGACAUUUUCAGGACAUCAUAUCCAAAAAAAUCAGAAUGUACAUUCUUCUCAAGAACACAUGGAACAUUCUCAAGGAUCGAUCACAUACUGGGGCACAAGACUAACCUCGACAAAUUUAAGAGUAUAGAAAUUUUAUCAAGCAUCUUCUUUGACCACAAUGGCAUGAAACUAGAUGUCAACCACAGCAAAAGAAAUGAGAAAAAACUAACUACAUGGAGACUAAACAACAUGCUGCUAAAAAAAAAAUGGGUCAAUGAGGAAAUCAAGAAGGAAA
ensembl:lncRNA